rnacentral:rRNA from 1 species
UACGUAGGGGGCAAGCGUUAUCCGGAUUUACUGGGUGUAAAGGGAGCGUAGACGGCUGUGCAAGUCUGAAGUGAAAUGCCGGGGCCCAACCCCGGAACUGCUUUGGAAACUGUACAGCUAGAGUGCAGGAGGGGUGAGCGGAAUUCCUAGUGUAGCGGUGAAAUGCGUAGAUAUUAGGAGGAACACCGGUGGCGAAGGCGGCUCACUGGACUGUAACUGACGUUGAGGCUCGAAAGCGUGGGGAGCAA